UAAACUUCACCAGGAAAUGACAAACAGCUUGAAGCAAGCUGAAGAACCGUGCAAGCGGGAGGGUGAGAACAGGUGGAUUUCGUCACAGCCACUCUCAGUUGUUAUUUACUGCCUUCAGUCUACACUUCAGCAGAACCCCUCUGUUGUUUUGAGAACGACUGUUGGGUCUUGUUGGAUGAUGAAGAACCUUCCAAUCAGUUUGUCUGCAUUUUUAUCUUCCCGGGAAGACAAAACAUUUCUGUAGUUGUCUGAGUUCAUUUUGCUCUGGCA